AGUGAACGCUGGCGGUAGGCCUAACACAUGCAAGUCGAACGGCAGCACAGUAAGAGCUUGCUCUUACGGGUGGCGAGUGGCGGACGGGUGAGGAAUACAUCGGAAUCUACUUUUUCGUGGGGGACAACGUAGGGAAACUUACGCUAAUACCGCAUACGACCUACGGGUGAAAGCAGUGGAUCUUCGGACCUUGCGCGAUUGAAUGAGCCGAUGUCGGAUUAGCUAGUUGGCGGGGUAAAGGCCCACCAAGGCGACGAUCCGUAGCUGGUCUGAGAGGAUGAUCAGCCACACUGGAACUGAGACACGGUCCAGACUCCUACGGGAGGCAGCAGUGGGGAAUAUUGGACAAUGGGCGCAAGCCUGAUCCAGCCAUACCGCGUGGGUGAAGAAGGCCUUCGGGUUGUAAAGCCCUUUUGUUGGGAAAGAAAAGCAGCAGGUUAAUACCCCGCUGUUCUGACGGUACCCAAAGAAUAAGCACCGGCUAACUUCGUG
rnacentral:rRNA from 1 species